UAGGAAUCCUCCUGUUCUUGAUGGCCUGUGGGUAUUAUCCCACAGAAUACGACCUCCAUCUGAUCAGUAAGAGGAGCUGGACCAGACCUGGCCUGUCACAAGAAUGCUGCCAGAUCAUAGCUUCGUGUUUGCAGUCUGAUCCAAAGCGGAGGAUCAAUCUGGAGAAGAUGCUUCUCCAUGAUUGGUUUAAGCAGGUCGUGGAGUAAUACAUGAAGAACUGUCACAACAGCUGUCACAUAUGUGGCUUUCCUGUCCCUCCAUCCACGCCUUGGCGCCUCGACUUGG